rnacentral:tRNA from 1 species
GGAGGGAUGGGUGAGUGGCUGAAACCAACAGUUUGCUAAACUGUCGAAGGGGUAACUCUUCCGAGGGUUCGAAUCCCUCUCCCUCCG